AAGAAUUUGGUUGAAGGUUCAGUGACUAAUAGCAACAAAAGGAAGAUGAGAGAAAAUGAGGGAGACGUUAGCAUUGUGCCAGAUGCAAAUACACUUAUCUCGAACAACGACGGUAGAUCAAAAACCAGAAAGCAAAAAACUACCAGAAUAUCUUGAAGACUGCUAGUUGUGAUAUAACAUAGAUUGUUUUUGUAUCAGGGUGAUGAUGAUUCAAACUAAUUCAAAGCAAGAG
rnacentral:misc_RNA from 1 species